GAUGAACGCUGGCGGCGUGCCUAAUACAUGCAAGUCGAGCGAACGGACGAGAAGCUUGCUUCUCUGAUGUUAGCGGCGGACGGGUGAGUAACACGUGGAUAACCUACCUAUAAGACUGGGAUAACUUCGGGAAACCGGAGCUAAUACCGGAUAAUAUUUUGAACCGCAUGGUUCAAAAGUGAAAGACGGUCUUGCUGUCACUUAUAGAUGGAUCCGCGCUGCAUUAGCUAGUUGGUAAGGUAACGGCUUACCAAGGCAACGAUGCAUAGCCGACCUGAGAGGGGGGUCGGCCACCCGGGAACUGAGACACGGUCCAGACUCCUACGGGAGGCAGCAGUAGGGAAUCUUCCGCAAUGGGCGAAAGCCUGACGGAGCAACGCGGCGUGAGUGAUGAAGGUCUUCGGAUCGUAAAACUCUGUUAUUAGGGAAGAACAUAUGUGUAAGGAACUGUGCACAUCUUGACGGUACCUAAUCAGAAAGCCACGGCUAACUACGUG
rnacentral:rRNA from 1 species